GGCGAACGGGUGAGUAACGCGUGAGGAACCUGCCUCAAAGAGGGGACGAACAGUUGGAAACGACUGCUAAUACCGCAUAAGCCCACGACCCGGCAUCGGGUAGAGGGAAAAGGAGCAAUCCGCUUUGAGAUGGCCUCGCGUCCGAUUAGCUAGUUGGUGAGGUAAUGGCCCACCAAGGCGACGAUCGGUAGCCGGACUGAGAGGUUGAACGGCCACAUUGGGACUGAGACACGGCCCAG
rnacentral:rRNA from 1 species